UCUCUCGCUGGCUGUCUCUAUCUCUGUCGAAUAAAUAAAUAAAAUCUUUAAAAAAAAAUUUUGCUAACAAUACUAAAAACCUAAUGUUUGUCAAGGCUACAAAAAAGGUUGAUGGUUUUGAUAGAAUCUGACCAUCCCCUCCAUAUGUCAAGAUUAGUAUCAGCUGUAAGAAAUGGAUAAGUUCAAAGUAACAGUUGCUUAAACAGAAAAUAUUUAUGUCUCUGUAUUGGCUUCUUGGGACGACUGCAACAAUGUAUAGUAAAUUGGAUGACUUAAGACAACAGAAAUCUGGCAGUUCUGGAGAAGUCUGAAAUCAGGCCAUGUUCACUCCAAAACCUGUCAGAUAACUUUGGUGAUUUUUCAAUGAUCUUUGGCAUUCUUAGGCUUGCAGCUGCAUAACUCCUAUCUCUACCUUUGUAGUCAUGUGGUGGCCUCCCUGUGUGUCUUCACGUGACCAUCUUGCAUUGGUCAUAUUGGAUUAAGGGCCAGCCCUACUUCAGUAUGACAACUAGUUACAUCUGCAGUGAUGCUAUUGAUAAGGUCACAUUCUGAGGGACUAGGGAUUAGGAUUUCAUGCCUAACUCAUGGAGAGACAAGUCAACCAUAAUUCUCUCAAAUUCAAGAACCUUGGAGGUAGUGAGAUAAGGGUUUGUAUGCGUCCAUAUGAUGUCAGGCACCUAGAUGAAUCUUCAGUCUUACUGCUCUGCCAUGAGUGACUUCCAUUACUAAGAACAUUUUAUGGUUCAAGAUAGGAGACUGACCAACAAAAGACAAAUUACCAGACUCAGGAAAGAAGACACAUCACUACUGAUUCUAUAGAAAUUGGAAAGGAUUAUAAAGGAAUAUUAUGAACAGUUUUAUGCCAAUUUAGGUGAAAUGGACAUGUUUCUAGAAAGGCCUGAAUUAGCAACUGAUUUAAGAAGAAAUAGAACAUCUGAAUAGGUCUAUAACAAGAAGUUGAAUUAAUACUUCUCAAGAAGAAAUGUCCAGGCCCAGAUGGCUUCACAUUAAAUUCUGUCAAAUAUUUAAAGAAGAGGCUUUCCCAAUUCUUCUCAAACUCCAAAGCUAGAGAAGGAAGGAUCACUUCCCAAAUGAUUCUUU